rnacentral:rRNA from 1 species
UACGUAGGGUGCAAGCGUUGUCCGGAAUUAUUGGGCGUAAAGAGCUCGUAGGCGGUCUGUCACGUCGGCUGUGAAAUCCCGAGGCUCAACCUCGGUCUGCAGUCGAUACGGGCAAACUAGAGUAUUGCAGGGGAGACUGGAAUUCCUGGUGUAGCGGUGAAAUGCGCAGAUAUCAGGAGGAAUACCCGUGGCGAAGGCGGCCCCCUGGGCCGAACCUGACGCUGAGGCGCGAAGGCUAGGGGAGCGAACGGG